rnacentral:tRNA from 1 species
GCCCCCGUAGCUCAGCGGACAGAGCAGUUGCCUUCUAAGCAAAGGGUCGGGAGUUCGAGUCUCUCCGGGGGCACCA